rnacentral:tRNA from 1 species
GGGGAUGUAGCUCAGUGGUAGAGCGUUCGCUUCGCAUGUGAGAGGCCCCGGGUUCGAUCCCCGGCAUCUCCA